CUGUAUAGACUCCUGGUUUGAGAUCAACCGCUCCUGCCCUGAACAUCCUUCAGACUGACCUCCAUCAUCUACUUCUGCUACCACUGAGAAAGGGCACUUUAUGGACCUAAACCUGGCACAAAAAUAACCAAAUAAAUCAAUCUACCAACCAAUUCGAUCGAAACCUACAGAAACGGAAAUGUGUCAUCGCAAAACUGAACCACAUAAAAGCGUUCAUCCAGCCAACACCAUCAUUACCACUUGCAGAAUCCCAGAAUCUCCUGCCCGCUGUGCUAGAGACUGCUAAACUGCUAACCGGCCCCUUCACGGCAAAACCACCAACACCGGAUCUCUGGUUUUGGAAAACGUCUCGCUUUCUUGCCCCCUCUACAUACUCUGUGUUCUUAUCGGCGUGAGUGUUCAGUCUGCAUUCUGACCCUGUCCUCUCUCCUUGUGUAUGUAAUCAGACAGAAGGAGAUGGGAAAGAGGGGGCGGGGCAACACGAGGGGCGGGGUGACAGAAGGGGUGGGGCAUAUGCGGAAAAUAAGUAGGAAGUAGACCACGCUUUGCAAACUGAUCCAGAGGCCAUACCUGUCCUGUCAAACGAUGCUGAUUAUAGGGGUGUGGCAGGGGGUGGGGUUUCACACCUGGUUCGUGGGAGGAGUUUUGUGUGCGCGGUUCACUCGUUAGUGAUGUGUUGGACAGCCGGUGGACGUAGAUUUACUUAUUCUGUGUGUGCAUGUGUGUGAUCAUGUAUCCACAGGCAGGGAAAUGUGUAAAUUGUGUUUCCUGUUAGUGCCAGAGGAAGUCCAAGACAUCAGCAUGUGUGUUGGGAUGGGGGUUUACGGUCAUAAACGGAGAGAAAGAUACACUCUCGGUCUGUCUUCAAAUGUUUACAAUUCACGAUAGAUGUCUUUCCCCUACGGAUUCUGAAACGAUAAGAAGCUCAAAGCUAUUUUCCUAGUUUCAUCUGCAAUUUUUUUGGGCAGUUAUUAUGAAGCGCUGACCAUAAUAUUCGGACAAUUUCCCUGUAAAAGCCUUGAGUACGUAUUCAGUAUGUGUGUAUGUGUGUGUGAUUUCGGCUUCUGUCCAUCCUCCCAUGUUUUCUGUAUGUUGCUUCACUACUGUAUGUAAAGCCCAGAUAUACUGGUGUGAAUCUAUUACAAGAUCAUUUCUAUGAUCUGCAUUUACUUUUUAUUUUUGAACAAUCUGUGAGAAACCUCACAAGAAAUCUAUUUAACCUUCAGGAUGCCUCUGUCUACUGUAUAAACAGCAAGCACUGUUAGAAAAUAAUGUUGCUGAAAUUGUAAAAA